rnacentral:rRNA from 1 species
UACGUAGGGUGCGAGCGUUAAUCGGAAUUACUGGGCGUAAAGCGUGCGCAGGCGGAUUGUUAAGCAAGAUGUGAAAUCCCCGGGCUUAACCUGGGAAUGGCAUUUUGAACUGGCAAUCUAGAGUGUGUCAGAGGGGGGUAGAAUUCCACGUGUAGCAGUGAAAUGCGUAGAGAUGUGGAGGAAUACCGAUGGCGAAGGCAGCCCCCUGGGAUAACACUGACGCUCAUGUACGAAAGCGUGGGUAGCAAACAGG